UGGGUGUUCCAGGAGACGCGUCUUUUCCCGAGAGCGGCAGCGCCAACUCUCCCGCGGUGACUGUGACUGGAGGAGUCCUGCAUCCAUGGAGCAAACCGAAGGCGUGAGAUCUAAGGCUUAAAGACUAUGGGGUGGACCUCAUUGAAGUUUCAGACAAUGGAUGUGGGGUAGAAGAAGAAAACUUUGAAGGUCUAGCUCUGAAACAUCACACAUCUAAGAUUCAAGAGUUUGCCGACCUCACGCAGGUUGAAACUUUUGGCUUUCGGGGGGAAGCUCUGAGCUCUCUGUGUGCACUAAGUGAUGUCACUAUAUCUACCUGCCACGGGUCUGCAAGCGUUGGGACUCGACUGGUGUUUGACCAUAAUGGGAAAAUCACCCAGAAAACUCCCUACCCCCGACCUAAAGGAACCACAGUCAGUGUGCAGCACUUAUUUUAUACACUACCCGUGCGUUACAAAGAGUUUCAGAGGAACAUUAAAAAGGAGUAUGCCAAAAUGGUGCAGGUCUUACAGGCGUACUGUAUCAUCUCAGCAGGCGUCCGUGUAAGCUGCACUAAUCAGCUCGGACAGGGGAAGCGGCAGCCUGUGGUGUGCACAAGCGGCAGCUCUGGCAUGAAGGAAAAUAUCGGGUCUGUGUUUGGCCAGAAGCAGUUGCAAAGCCUCAUUCCUUUUGUUCAGCUGCCCCCUAGUGACGCUGUGUGUGAAGAGUACGGCCUGAGCACUUCCAGGACGCCACAAAACCUUUUCUACGUUUCGGGCUUCAUUUCACAGUGCACGCACGGCGCCGGGAGGAGUGCAACAGACAGGCAGUUUUUCUUCAUCAAUCAGAGGCCCUGUGACCCAGCAAAGGUCUCUAAGCUUGUCAAUGAGGUUUAUCACAUGUAUAACCGGCAUCAGUACCCAUUUGUCGUCCUUAACGUUUCCGUUGACUCAGAAUGUGUGGAUAUUAAUGUAACUCCAGAUAAAAGGCAAAUUCUACUACAAGAAGAGAAGCUAUUGCUGGCCGUUUUAAAGACCUCCUUGAUAGGAAUGUUUGACAGUGAUGCAAACAAGCUUAAUGUCAACCAGCAGCCACUGCUAGAUGUUGAAGUAAAUCGAUGUUUGCAGAGAUGGAGAUCUUGGGUCAGUUUAACCUGGGAUUUAUAGUAACCAAACUGAAAGAGGACCUCUUCCUGGUGGACCAGCAUGCUGCGGAUGAGAAGUACAACUUUGAGAUGCUGCAGCAGCACACGGUGCUCCAGGCGCAGAGGCUCAUCACACCCCAGACUCUGAACUUAACUGCUGUCAAUGAAGCUGUACUGAUAGAAAAUCUGGAAAUAUUCAGAAAGAAUGGCUUUGACUUUGUCAUUGAUGAGGAUGCUCCAGUCACUGAAAGGGCUAAAUUGAUUUCCUUACCAACUAGUAAAAACUGGACCUUUGGACCCCAAGAUAUAGAUGAACUGAUCUUUAUGUUAAGUGACAGCCCUGGGGUCAUGUGCCGGCCCUCACGAGUCAGACAGAUGUUUGCUUCCAGAGCCUGUCGGAAGUCAGUGAUGAUUGGAACGGCGCUCAAUGCGAGCGAGAUGAAGAAGCUCAUCACCCACAUGGGUGAGAUGGACCACCCCUGGAACUGCCCCCACGGCAGGCCAACCAUGAGGCACGUUGCCAAUCUGGAUGUCAUCUCUCAGAACUGACACACCCCUUGUAGCAUAGAGUUUAUUACAGAUUGUUCGGUUUGCAAAGAGAAGGUUUUAAGUAAUCUGAUUAUCGUUGUACAAAAAUUAGCAUGCUGCUUUAAUGUACUGGAUCCAUUUAAAAGCAGUGUUAAGGCAGGCAUGAUGGAGUGUUCCUCUAGCUCAGCUACUUGGGAGAUCCCGGUGGGAGGCUCAUGUGAGCCCAGGACUUUGAGACCACUCCGAGCCACAUUCAUGAGACUCAAUUCAAGGACAAAAAAAAAAAAGAUAUUUUUGAAGCCUUUUUACCAUGUCUGCAGUUACUGUUCUGCAAUUUGACUUUGUGUGUGUGUGUGUGUGUGUGUGUGUGUGUGUGUGUGUGUGUGUGUGUGGCAACUUUUGACUUUGAGCCCUCAAUGGCGAUUGAAUUCUAUUUGUUUUCUCACCCACCCACCCUCACCCCAGUGUCUGAGGCAGCGUUUUGUGAAACUCAGGCUUCUCUUGACUCGUUUUGUCACCAAGGUUGGCCUAGAACUGAGCUUGCCUCCACGGCCCAAGAGCUGGGAUCCCAGGUGUGUGUCACAUAUGCCCACAUUAAAAAAAUAUGGUCUUUUUUAAUUAGCAGCUCUCAAUCCCGACUCAUGAAAUUUAAGAACAAAGGACUUCUUUACCUGGUUGGAAAGAAAUUGCUGACUAGGAUUGGGAUGCCUUUGGAGUGGGUAGAAAGGGAUGAGACGGGCUUCCAGCCCUGGCUGAUCUGGAACUUGCUAUUUAGAGCACCCCAGCUUGAACUCAUAUUCCCCUGCCUCUGCCUCCUGAAUUCUAGGAUUAAAGUCACGAGCCACCACACCUAGCUUGGGGUCACUAUUUUUUAACUGUUCCUCAGUGCAGCUAGAGUGGAAAGUUCCAUUCCAGGCAAGGGCUGGGCCGAGGCAGGGAGUAGAAGAUAGUCUGUGCCGUAGCUCAGUGCUGUAAUUUGAUUUCCUUGGGGUGUGAACUAUGGGUUUUUUGUUCUGUUUCUGUGGAGUCUUGUCCAUUGGAACUGUGUGAGAGAUAGAAAUUACAAUGCCUCCUGUGAAGUCCAGGCGGCAGUUAGGAAGAGUGGUGACUGGCAUGGGCAGUUGCCCCUCCAGCUUCCUCUGUGCUGUGGGCCUCCUGGAGAAGAGGAGGUGCCAUGGUUCAUGUGUGCCGAGGUUGUAAAGGCUUAGCUACCUGCAUUUGUUAAUGUCAAAGUCCAUGCUACUGCUGGGUAGAGUGGCACAGACCUGCAAGUUCAAGCACAGCAGAGGCAGGCUGAGGCCAUCCUGGGCUGCUCCAUAGUCCCAGGCCAGAGAGGGUUACAUACCAAAAUUCUGUCUCAAGACACACACUGCUAGUCCAGCUCCAACCACAGGGUCUCAGAACAUUCACAGGAGCACUGCAAGUUGGGGUGGUACAGUAAUGCCCCCUCAAAAGAGUCUGCUUCUCAUCACCAGAAGCUGUGACUGUUACCUUAUAUGUGACAAAGGGGACUCUUGAGAUGGGAUUAAGGAGCCCAGUAAUGGGGAGAUUGACCUGUGCAGUCUGAAGGGCACUGUCCGUCACAUUAGUUCUUCAAAGUAGAGGACAAGUAUACUGACUCUUCCUGAACCCUCCAAGUAAGCCAGGCCUGCAACUUACCGCUGAUAGACUAUGGCUUCAAGCCACUGUUUGGUGGAAAACAAAAGCUUAUGUUAUUCUAUUUUAUGGUGAAGAAACCUGCUGAGGGAGGUCACAUGGUUUGCAGUUAGAUCGGGAAAAUCCAGGUCAAGUACAUCCUGCUCCCUUGCCUAGCCAGUUCCUCCCUUCUUGGAUGCAUUACAGCUUUGUACUGGUACCCGCGGCCCCUUUAAGAGGACAGGAGGCGGGGCUUGUUUCAGUUGCUUAGAGACCACCUAGCUCCCAGGACGCAAAGUCUUCCUUAAUAAUGCCACUUUGGGAUCUGCAGGCCUGGCCAGAGCAGGUAAAACCCAUCCGUGCUUUGAAACAAAACUGCAGUCUGCCAAAGAAAUCAUUGGCUAAUUCUGCUUGUAAAGAAAACGCGCACGUCUUCCAAAAGCCAUGGUGAAAGAAAAGAAAAAAGCGGACAAGAAAGGAGAUAAGUCAGCCCGCUCUCCCUCCUCCAUUUCUGAUAACCCAGAAGCCUCGAAACAAGAUAGCAAUGCCAGUAAGCAAGAAGUGGCCCCCAGUGCUGUUGUCCCAGUCGUGGAAACACCACUCAAGCAAGCCCCGAAAAGAGACUCAGUACAAAUGGAGCAGAGUGAAGAGGAGACUCAGUACGAAGAGCCCAUCCUGACCAAGCUCAUAGUGGAAAGCUAUGAAGGGGAGAAAGUCCGUGGACUGUAUGAGGGAGAAGGCUUUGCUGUCUUUCAAGGCGGAAACACCUACCACGGUAUGUUUUCAGAAGGACUGAUGCAUGGACAAGGCACUUACAUUUGGGCUGACGGAUUGAAGUACGAGGUAAAGUAUUGUCGUGUGUAAGAGCUGUCAGGGAUUAAUUGUAGAAUUAAUCACAGGUCGGCGCUCUGCACUUUUUUUUUUUAAAGAUUUAUUUAUGGGGCUGGAGAGAUGUACAAUGUACUCAUAUAAAUAAAAUUAAAUAAAAUAAACAUUUUUUAAAAAGAUUUAUUUAUUUAUUGUAUAUAAGUGCACUGUAGCUGUCUUCAGACACACCAAAAGUGUGCGUCAGAUCACAUUGCAGAUGGUGUGAGCCACCCAUGUGGUUGCUGGGCUUUGAACUCAGUUAGUGCUCCUAACCACUGAACCAUCUCUCCAGCCCCGCUCCCUGCACUAUUUUUAAAGAAUUCAUUUUUAUUUUUUAAAGUAUGUGUGUGUGUGUGUGUGUGUGUGUGUGUGUGUGUGUGUGUCUCGUGUCUGUGUGUUGUUAUGGCUGUUGACUUGAGGCGGUCUCAGAGGCUACAGGAAGAUAACGGAUACUCUAGAGCUGCAGUCACAUACAAUUGGGAGCUGCUGGUAUGGAUGCUGGAAACGGCACUCAUGCUCUAACUGUUGAACCAUCUUUCUAGCCCUCUAGAUAGACAAUUCUUAUAAAAGUAAGUCAAGUUAGGUGUGGUAGCACACGCCUUUAAUCCCAGUACUUGGGAGGCAGAGGCCAGGAGGUCUCUGUGAGUUUAAAGCCAGCCUGAUCUACAGAACCAGUUUUAGGACAGCCAGGCUACAUACUGAGACACUGUCUCAAAAAAACAAUUUAAAAAGAAAGAAAGAAAGUUAGCAUAGUUAGGAUGAUAUCAUGGAAUCCCAGUACUUGGGAAGCUGAGGCAGGAGGACACCCUGAGUCUACAUAAUAAGAUGCUACUUCUGAAAAAGAAAAAAACUCAAUGCAAAGGGCAGUGUUAGCACAGGACCAAACCUGGAGAGAACAGGACGAUGCAGAGGCCAACUUGUCACUCCAUGUAGUAACGCGGUGACUGCAUCAGGUGCCUGCGAAUCCCUGGAGCUGGCUUUAUGUGUAGCCCCGGAGGUGUCCUGUGUUUACACAUCACACGGGUGGCGUUCAGUGGUGAUCUGUGUAUUCUCUGCGUGCAUUGCACACAGAUAGAUGUAUGUUAAAUCCCUCAUGCUUUAUCUGAACACAGUUUCUCUAUCUCUUUUAUUCCUUUAUUUUUUUUACUAACUAAGCCAUCCCCAUCCCCGCAGAGCCUCUCUUUUUCCUGGCUGCAUGCAUCCCAUUAUGGGGGUUUCACAAAAACCAUCUGGGUUGCUGGGCUGAGGGGAAGUGAGUAUUUUUAAACUGAUUGUGAGAACAGAUUUGUCCUCUGAGACUGUGCCAGUUUCAGCUCCCACUCUCAAAGCCUGUGAAGUCUGAAGUGCUGUUCUAGAAAUCUCCGCUGCAGAGUUACUAAUGCCAUGGUGUCCAUAAAUGGUAAGAGACAUUUAAGGCAAAUACACGGAGCACGUGGAUUCAGAGGGCAGCUGGGCAGCGGGCACGAGCUGCAGAGGUACAGGGAUGGCGAGAGAGGGUUGAUCCUCCACUGAGGGGGCCUGGGGAUCCACCCUCAACAGUGUGUUAGGGCCCAGUUUUCUGAGAGAACUCCCUUUCCGUGCAACCCCCACCUUCCAGCCUGCUGCCAACAUGGAAGGUUUCUGAUCCCUGAGUGGUGGUUUUGCCAGGCAGGUCCUUCUGUGUCACUGUCUCUGGAAAUCCUCUGGCGUAUGGGGGCUGCGGGAGGAUCCUUCUUGGCAAGCACAGAGCCCUCCACAAUCAACCCAUCUUAGAGAGUUCACGGGUGGGAUCUUGGCUCUCGAAGCAUCCUCAGGCACGUUGAGCCAAGUAGCACCAAUAUGCUCUGCUGAACUGGUGAUCAUCCUGUGUGUUUGGAGGCUUGGGACUGAGGCAGAGCACCAGCUUAGCAUGUGGGGGAACCCUGGUUCAUUACCCAGUGCCACUACCACCAUUGCCAACGGGACCACUCUACCAUCUUUGGGCCAUGUCACCAUGAGCUGCUCACAAUGAAAGCGGCCUCAGCCAACACAGUGAGUUCUUUAGAAGUUGCCAAUGAGGUAGGCCAUUGACUGCAGAGUAUUUUGAUGGACCAUGGGGAGACAGAAGGCUUUCUGUGAGUGAUCAGUACCUGGCUGAUCAUUCAGACCUCUCCACGGUGGACCCUGAGAGGCUAAAGUUAAGGUCAGGAUUGGCAGCCACCACAUUGCCGGGUCACCUGCUUGCUUCUUGGAGCAUGGUGUAAAUGAAACCUUCCCAGUGUUUUAUUCUGCGUGGACUUCCGUGCUGUGGAAGAACGAGGUGAGGGGAUAGGAAACACAGGGACGAGGACAUGACGUGCCGAUCCCCCACACCCACAGAAAAGCCAGGUCAGUGUCAGAGUGGUCAAAGUUCCUUCAUUGCCACCCCCUAUCGUCCUCCUGGUCAUUUUGCCCUAGGGGGACUUUGUGAAGAAUAUCCCCAUGAACCACGGGGUGUACACAUGGCCGGACGGCAGCACUUAUGAAGGAGAGGUGACCAAUGGCAUGAGGAAUGGAUUUGGUAUGUUCAAGUGUGGCACACAGCCUGUGUCCUACAUCGGCCACUGGUGUCAUGGCAAGAGACAUGGGAAGGUAAGCAGCCUCUGCCAUCUGACCCACUGCCAUGAUGUUCUGCCUCAACACUGGCCCAGAACUAACAGAACUGAUGGUUAUAGACUGAAAACUCUGGAACCACCAACCAAAAUAAAUAAUCCCUCUCUUCAGUUGUUUCUGUAAGGGCUCCAUCUAUUACAAUCAAGAGGGGACCUCUUGGUAUGAAGGAGACUGGGUAUACAACAUCAAAAAGGGCUGGGGAAUAAGAUGCUAUAAAUCAGGAAACAUAUAUGAAGGGCAGUGGGAGAACAACAUGCGCCAUGGGGAAGGCAGAAUGAGGUGGCUCACAACAAACGAGGAGUACACGGGCCACUGGGAGAAGGGGAUCCAGAAUGGCUUUGGAACACACACAUGGUUCCUAAAGAGAAUCCCCAACUCUCAGUAUCCCUUGAGAAAUGAAUACAUAGGGGAAUUUGUAAAUGGCUUCCGUCAUGGACAAGGGAAAUUUUACUACGCCAGUGGAGCCAUGUAUGAGGGAGAGUGGGCUUCCAACAAAAAGCAGGGCAGGGGCAGAAUGACCUUCAAGAAUGGCCAUGUGUAUGAAGGUCUGUUUUCCAAUGAUCACAUUGCACAGUUCUUUGAAACUGAAAUGGAUUACUCACAGAGCCUGGACCGUUGGUCAGAUGCCUCGCAAAGGAGCCGGCAGCCUCGGGGGUCUUCAGUCAGUGCUGUCAGGGAGCCUGAGACCCUGCGGAAGUUGGAUGGCAGCGAAAGCCGUUCUGUGCUAGGAACGAGUAUUGAGCUGGACUUAACUCUGUUGCUGGACAUGUACCCCGAGGAAAGCCAGGAGGAGGAAAAGAAGCAGGUGGAAUACGCAGUCCUGAGGAACAUCACAGAGCUAAGGAGGAUCUACUGCUUCUACAGCGGCCUCGGGUGUGACCACUCGCUGGACAACACCUUUCUGAUGACAAAGCUGCACUUCUGGAGAUUCCUGAAAGACUGCAGGUUCCAUCACCACAACAUAACUCUGGCAGAUAUGGACAGGGUAUUGAGUGUCUAUAACGGCAUCCCAAUCGAAGAAAUCCACUCUCCAUUUAGAACCAUACUCUUAAGAACAUUCCUGAAUUACCUCCUGCAGCUGGCUUACUACAUCCAUCACAAGGAGUUCCAGAACAGAAGCCCGUCGCUCUUCCUGUGUUUUACAAAACUGAUGUCUGAGAACAUUCACCCACAUGCCUGUCAGGUAAAAGGUCACUUAUUCAGUGAGCAACAGCGGACACUCUACUCAAUGAAUUACAUUGAUAAGUGCUGGGAGAUUUACACAGCCUACUGCAGACCCAACGAAGCCCCACCCUAUGAGCUGACGAUGAAGAUGAGAUAUUUCCUCUGGAUGCUGAAAGACUUUAGGAUGAUAAAUAAAGACCUAACUGCGACCAAAUUCAUGACUGUGAUAGCGGAGGACAACCCUUUCGUGUACGAUGGAACUGACAGCAACUUCGAGCUUGAGCUGGUUUUCCUGGAAUUCUUUGAAGCCCUCUUAUGCUUCUCUCUCUGCUGCAUGUUUGACCAGAUGACUAGAUCCUAUCUAAAAGUCCCGUAUGACGACAUCACUACAAACCGAUACGGCAGCACUCAGACGAUACUGAACCAGGUGACAGACAAUGUGGUAGAGUGUAGAACCUAGGCAUGACUUGAGCCCGGUGGGUAGACUCUCAGUCAGAACUGGAGAGACACUGUCUAGUGCACAGAGGGAUGCCUGCCCGAGAGCAAAGAUACCAGGAGACAGCUUAUAGGUCUGCACGCAAUACUAAACAGGUCGGAGAGAGAGAGGUUUACUCACAGGGUGGACACCCUUGGUCACUGUGAGACCCUGGCAGAGCCAAGACCUUGCUUUACAAGGAAAUGAGACUUGAGUCAUUGACAGACUUUUAGAGGGGGUUUCUCAUUAGUGGACUGAAAAGGUUUCUGAUGUUUGAGACAUUCGCCUGGAGCCACAAGAGACAUUCUAGGGAUCUGCUGAGCCCAGCAGUCUUCAGUUGUAUUCGUUUUUACCACAGUAAGAUAAUGGGGAAUAUCAAUGUGAAGAUGACAGAAAAACCGUUCAGACUUACAAAAGCUGAAGGAAUUCAGGAGCAGCCCAACAAACCCAGGGAAUGUUAAAGGGCUUUCUUCGAGCAAGAGGAGGAUGCAAGCCGAUGGGCAGGAGCUCUGUUUAGGAGAAAGAGAAACGCCGCCAAGAGUGACUGUGGGUUCUUCUCUUCCUGAGCAAAAGAUAACUGCAGUCUAAGCAACAAUAACCUAUCCGCCAUCGUUAUAGCAUAAAGGAUAAGAACAGCCUGAGGACUAGAAAAGGAGAGACAGCAAUAGGGUUUUAAAGUUCUAACUCAGGGCCACUGAGAUGGUUAAAGGCGCUUGCCCCGAGCCUGAUGACCCGGGUUCUUUGAUCCCCAGAAUCCACGUGUGGCAAGACAUACAAAUGUACAUGUAAAAUGGAAGAGUUAUUAAAGUUCUAUCACUCUAAGUGGCAAUGAUAUCCCUUGAAGGUAGAUUUGCCAAAUUAAAAGAACCUUACUGCAAA